GACGAACGCUGGCGGCGUGCUUAACACAUGCAAGUCGAACGGAAAGGCCCUGCUUUUGUGGGUUGCUCGAGUGGCGAACGGGUGAGUAACACGUGAGUAACCUGCCCUUGACUUUGGGAUAACUUCAGGAAACUGGGGCUAAUACCGGAUAUGAUCUCCUGCUGCAUGGUGGGGGUUGGAAAGUUUCGGCGGUUGGGGAUGUACUCGCGGCUUAUCCGCUUGUUGGUGGGGUAGUGGCUUACCAAGGCUUUGACGGGUAGCCGGCCUGAGAGGGGGACCGGCGACAAGGGGACUGAGAGAGGGACCAGAAUGCAACGGGAGGCAGCAGGGGGGAAUAUUGCGCAAUGGGGGGAAGCCUGAGACAGAAACGCCGCGUGCGGGAUGACGGCCUUCGGGUUGUAAACCGAUUUCGACUGUGACGAAGAGGGAGUGACGGUAAUGGGUAAAGAAGCAACGGCUAACUACGUG
rnacentral:rRNA from 1 species